rnacentral:rRNA from 1 species
GACGAACCGAGCGAACGUUAUUCGGAAUCAUUGGGCGUAAAGCGCACGUAGGCGGCCCGUUAAGUCGGACGUGAAAGCCCAGGGCUCAACCCUGGAAGUGCGUUCGAUACUGGCAGGCUUGAAUAUGGAAGAGGGUCGCGGAAUUCCCGGUGUAGAGGUGAAAUUCGUAGAUAUCGGGAGGAACACCGGUGGCGAAGGCGGCGACCUGGGUAGAUACUGACGCUGAGGUGCGAAAGCGUGGGGAGCAAACAGG